rnacentral:piRNA from 1 species
UAUUCCUUGUAAUUUCUUAGCAGCCU